rnacentral:rRNA from 1 species
UACGUAGGUGGCAAGCGUUGUCCGGAAUUACUGGGCGUAAAGCGUGCGCAGGCGGCUUCGCAAGUACAGACGUGAAAUCCCCGGGCUUAACCUGGGAAUGGCGUUUGAAAACUACGGAGCUGGAGUGUGGCAGAGGGAGGUAGAAUUCCACGUGUAGCGGUGAAAUGCGUAGAUAUGUGGAGGAAUACCGAUGGCGAAGGCAGCCUCCUGGGCCAACACUGACGCUCAUGCACGAAAGCGUGGGGAGCAAACAGG